rfam:Thermoplasmatales archaeon B_DKE contig-7, whole genome shotgun sequence.
GGGGCUGUGGGGUAGCUUGGUAUCCUACGGGCUUUGGGAGCCUGAGACCCCGGUCCAAAUCCGGGCAGCCCCA